UCUCGAGCGCGAGAAGGGCAUCUGGUGAAUGCCUUGGCAUUAAGAGGCGAUGAAGGACGUGGCACUCUGCGUUAAGUUCCGGGGAGUUGAGAGCAGACUUUGAUCCGGAAAUAUCCGAAUGGGGCAACCCAACCCGCAAGGGUUAUCCGUAGCUGAAUACAUAGGCUUGCGGAAGCAAACCCGGCGAACUGAAACAUCUCAGUAGCCGGAGGAAAGGACAUCAACCGAGACUCCGUUAGUAGUGGCGAGCGAACGCGGACCAGGCCAGUGGCUUGGGUAUAAGAACGAGAACCGUCUGGAAAGUCGGGCCAUAGCGGGUGAUAGCCCCGUAUCGGUAGAAAGUACCCAAGUCCUCGAGUAGGGCGGGACACGUGAAAUCCUGUUCGAACAUGGGGGGACCACCCUCCAAGCCUAAGUACUCCUUAAUGACCGAUAGUGAACCAGUACCGUGAGGGAAAGGUGAAAAGCACCCCGACGAGGGGAGUGAAACAGACCUGAAACCGGAUGCCUACAAGCAGUAGGAGCCUCCAUUGUGAGGUGACUGCGUACCUUUUGUAUAAUGGGUCAGCGAGUUACUCUUUCGAGCAAGCUUAAGCCGCAAGGUGUAGGCGCAGCGAAAGCGAGUGUGAACAGCGCGUUCAGUUCGAGGGAGUAGACCCGAAACCGGGUGAUCUAGCCAUGAGCAGGCUGAAGGUGCAGUAACAUGCACUGAAGGGCCGAACCCACGUCUGUUGAAAAAGACAGGGAUGACUUGUGGCUAGGGGUGAAAGGCCAAUCAAACCCGGAAAUAGCUGGUUCUCCGCGAAAACUAUUUAGGUAGUGCGUCACAUGAAUAUUGCCGGGGGUAGAGCACUGGAUGGGCUAGGGGGACCCAAAGUCUUACCAAACCUAACCAAACUCCGAAUACCGGUAAAUACUAUGUGGCAGACAGACGGCGGGUGCUAAGGUCCGUCGUCGAAAGGGAAACAGCCCAGACCGCCAGCUAAGGUCCCAAAGUCAUGGCUAAGUGGGAAAGGAUGUGGGAAGACCAAAACAACCAGGAGGUUGGCUUAGAAGCAGCCAUCCUUUAAAGAAAGCGUAACAGCUCACUGGUCUAAAUAAGUCGUCCUGCGCCGAAGAUGUAUCGGGGCUAAAGCCAUGCACCGAAGCUGCGGAUUCCAGUUUACUGGAGUGGUAGCGGAGCGUCGUCCAAGCCUGCGAAGGUGAACCGCGAGGUUCGCUGGAGGUACGACGAGUGAGAAUGCUGACAUGAGUAGCGAUAAAGAGUGUGAGAAACACUCUCGCCGAAAUCCCAAGGGUUCCUGCGCAAGGCUAAUCCGCGCAGGGUGAGUCGGCCCCUAAGCCGAGGGCGAAAGCCGUAGGCGAUGGGAAUCAGGUGAAUAUUCCUGAACCAGACGGUGGUGACGAAUAGCGGUAGCUGUACGGACUUAACGGAUUGUCUGUGCAGUCAAGUUGUUCCAGGAAAUAACCCCGUCAUAAGACCGUACCCGAAACCGACACAGGUGGGAUGGUAGAGUAUACCGAGGCGCUUGAGAGAAUGGUGUUGAAGGAACUAGGCAAAUUGCACCCGUAACUUCGGGAUAAGGGUGACCCCUUUGCGCGCAAGCGUGGGGGGGUGGCACAAACUAGGGGGUGGCGACUGUUUACUAAAAACACAGGGCUCUGCGAAGUCGCAAGACGACGUAUAGGGUCUGACGCCUGCCCGGUGCCGGAAGGUUAAGAGGAGAGGUGAGAGCUUUGAAUCGAAGCCCCGGUAAACGGCGGCCGUAACUAUAACGGUCCUAAGGUAGCGAAAUUCCUUGUCGGGUAAGUUCCGACCUGCACGAAUGGCGUAACGACUUCCCCGCUGUCUCCAACACCAACUCAGCGAAAUUGAACUCUCCGUGAAGAUGCGGAGUACCCGCGGUCAGACGGAAAGACCCCGUGCACCUUUACUAUAGCUUUGCAGUGGCAUUAGAAAAUGACUGUGUAGGAUAGGUGGGAGGCUAUGAACCCAGGGCGCCAGCUCUGGUGGAGCCAACCUUGAAAUACCACCCUUUUGCUUUCUGAUGUCUAACCGCGACCCGUGAAACCGGGUCCGGGACCCUGCAUGGUGGGUAGUUUGACUGGGGCGGUCGCCUCCUAAAGAGUAACGGAGGCGCGCGAUGGUGAGCUCAGGCUGGUCGGAAAUCAGCUUAGAGAGUGCAAUGGCAUAAGCUCGCCUGACUGCGACACCGACAGGUGGAGCAGAGACGAAAGUCGGUCAUAGUGAUCCGGUGGUCCCGCGUGGAAGGGCCAUCGCUCAACGGAUAAAAGGUACGCCGGGGAUAACAGGCUGAUGGUUCCCAAGAGUCCACAUCGACGGAACCGUUUGGCACCUCGAUGUCGGCUCAUCUCAUCCUGGGGCUGGAGCAGGUCCCAAGGGUUUGGCUGUUCGCCAAUUAAAGAGGUACGUGAGCUGGGUUUAGAACGUCGUGAGACAGUUCGGUCCCUAUCUGCCGUGGGAGUACGAGACUUGAGAGGAGCUGCCCCUAGUACGAGAGGACCGGGGUGGACGUACCUCUGGUGUACCUGUUGUCGCGCCAGCGGCACCGCAGGGUAGCUAAGUACGGACGAGAUAACCGCUGAAAGCAUCUAAGCGGGAAACUCCCCUCAAUACCAGGUCUCGCCUGAGAGCCGUGGAAGACCACCACGUCGAUAGGCCGGGUGUGGAAGUGUGGCAACACAUGAAGCUUACCGGUACUAAUCGCUCGAAAGGCUCAAGA
rnacentral:rRNA from 1 species